ACACCAUUCUCAUAUUCUCCAAACAAUUACCGAGUUACAGCAUCGUCUUCCUACUUGCAUCUAUGCCGCUGUCGCAGUCUGCGACGGCCAACACCGCCGUUGCCUCGCACUCGUGCUCCCUGUAGUUCUUGUACGACCUGAACAAAGACCAAAACGACUUCACCGACCGGCUCCCGUUCAUAGCCGGUAAAUCUCUCACACCGUCGAGAUCUAAAUCGGCGCUGGAGAACCUUGAUCUUGAGCGGAGAAACGGAAUCGCCAUGGAGCACGAGCGGCAGAGUGAGGGCUUACGCUCGAUGAGGUUUUAGAUGCGACCGACGGCAGAUGCGUCACUGGUGACAGAAAAACGAUGGAAGGACGAAGAGAAGGAGGAAGAAGAGGACGAGCUGUUUGCGUAGCAGGAGCACGGUCGCAUGUUAGCGCAGUCAGGGCAGAGAGUGACAAGUUGAUCGCCUAGGCAAAUAGGACAAAUCUCGCUCCUCCGUCGCUUGGAAGGGUGCUUUGGACAUUUCCAUACCUCUUCUUCAUCCAGGUACAAUGCCAUUUCCAUAGCUCAUUCCAGAACCACGAGGAGGAGGUUGAUGAUGCUAGUAUGAAUCCUAAUGUUGAUCUCUCUUACAUUGAUGUGAAAGUCGAGAAGAUCAACACUCACUUUUUUGUGAAAGUCUAAGAUGUGAACACGUCUAUUGAUCAGCUCUCUGAAGAUUUGAACAUCAAGAUGCCAGAGAUUCUUUACUUUUGAUUUACAAUCUUUAGCAUCUCAACUUGUUAAUAGGUCUAAAACAAAAGUAAAGUAGUUUGGGGAUUUCAUAUUAGAUCUUUGAAUAUAAUUGGUAUGAACCAAUUCUUUUAAAAGCUUAAACUAUUUUUUUAGAAAGAAAGUGUGUUGCAUGCCAUUUAAAAAAAUAAUAAUAAAAGAGUAGCUCAAUUUAUGUUCCACUAGGUUGAGAGAGCAUAGGAGGAAGCAUAAACAUAUAUAAGUAAGAUAGAUAGAUAGAUAGAUAGGGGCAGAGGCAGGGGGCAGGGGGCAGGGACAGUGCACAGAGGUUGUACUGAGAUAAAAUAAAAACGCUCGUGCUGCUAUGUUAAUGCUAUAGUUUAAUUAUUUGUGUGGGGAGUGAUGCUAGUACUUGAUUUUUGGUUCAUUUUGGGGGGGUGGUAAUGCCCUUGUGCUUGUGGACUGUGGUCCCAAACAUUAAUAACAAAGGGGUAUGCAAUGUUAAUGUAACGUAAUGUAAUGUUUGAAUUUUACCCUACUCCAAGUUCUUAGGGACAUGGGUUCUUGUAAGAUUUGCAUGUUAUACAUCCCCUUUUCAGCGACCACAAAGGCCCUUUAACUCCUCCCCAAGUUCAUUUACAGUGACACUACGGGGCCUUAUACUACUAAAUUGGGAUACAGUGCCUUGUAUACUUGCAAGUUCAUUGACUGUUAGUCAUUAUAUUAUAUUGAGCUACUCUUUUUAUUGCAUUUCAAAUCAUGAUUGUGUUGAAUUCUGUGGUGGUUGCAAAUUAUACUUUCUGCAGUCCAGCAGUUACCUUUAGUUUUUAUCACCUUUUCGCAUGGAGCAUAAGCGAGGUCAUUAGAUACUCACGUUAUGCUUUUAGCUGCAUUGGAAAUUGCCCUUAUUGGAUAACCUAUCUCAGGUA